GACGAACGCUGGCGGCGUGCCUAAUACAUGCAAGUCGAGCGAAUCAAUAGGAGCUUGCUCCUGUUGGUUAGCGGCGGACGGGUGAGUAACACGUGGGCAACCUGCCUGUAAGACUGGGAUAACACCGGGAAACCGGUGCUAAUACCGGAUAAUCCUUUUCCUCUCAUGAGGAAAAGCUGAAAGACGGUUUCGGCUGUCACUUACAGAUGGGCCCGCGGCGCAUUAGCUAGUUGGUGAGGUAACGGCUCACCAAGGCGACGAUGCGUAGCCGACCUGAGAGGGUGAUCGGCCACACUGGGACUGAGACACGGCCCAGACUCCUACGGGAGGCAGCAGUAGGGAAUCUUCCACAAUGGACGAAAGUCUGAUGGAGCAACGCCGCGUGAGCGAUGAAGGCCUUCGGGUCGUAAAGCUCUGUUGUUAGGGAAGAACAAGUACCGGAGUAACUGCCGGUACCUUGACGGUACCUAACCAGAAAGCCACGGCUAACUACGUGCCAGCAGCCGCCGUAA
rnacentral:rRNA from 1 species